CUCUUUAUGCCACGUGAGGAUACAGCAAGGCCCCAAUCUGCAAGCCAGGAAGAGUCGUCACGAGAACCAGACCAUGCAGGAACUCUGAUCGUGGACAUUUCAACCUCCAGAACUGUGAUCCAAAAUGCAUAUGUAUCUUUGGAAGAAACUCUGAAGUAAAGGCCGGAAUAUUCUUUGUUUAAAACAUUAAAAACAAAACAGACCAAAGCAUCAAGCAAGAAGUUUCCUGGCAAUAAACUAAGCACAGCAUUAUUUUUUAAGGAACACAAAUUAAGUGUUCAACCUGUGGCAAAUUUGUACUUUCUCCCUGAAUUAUGUUGUUAUCAAAGAAAAAAAUUGGGAAGCAUGGCAAAAUAUCAUCAAAACUGAAACUAGAAUUAAACAAAACUAAAUUAAAAUGAAAUAAAAUGAUGUCCAUUCUUAAUUCAUCCUCACAACUGGGCCACUAGUUUUAUGCAUCUUGGCAGCCAAUAUUUUUGUCUCUAGGGCAUAAAUUAUGCAUCAGGUACCUCUGAAACUCAGAGACCAAGGAAAAAGGAGGUAAUUUGGAAGGUGAAAUAAAUGUAAACAUUCUGAAGAAAGAAUCAAAUCUGUACUUCAGGGUCAAAGAUGAAAUUCAAAAGGGGUUGACAAUGCAUAGAAAAAAGUGCUGAAUUUAAAGUUGGUUUUAUUAUUAUCAUUGUUAUUUGAACCAAUAAUUAAAUCCAGUAAGUCUAGAGCAAUGAUCAUAAUUCUGUACUGUUGUUUUUCUAUUUUAGAAUCCAGUGUACUGUUUCCAAGAGCUUGGCAAAAAAAAAAAAAAAAAAAAAAAAAAAGAAAAAGGAGCUUGACUCUAAAUCUCUAAAUCUUGGAGUCUGGAUGCACUAUUCAUGUGAUAGGCUAAAAUAACUACUAAUACCUUAUGUUCAAACAGCACUUUAUGAAGUGAUUACACAUAAAAGAUCUUUUUUGAUAUAACUGUUAUACGGCAUAUCUUCCAUUUUAUAGACAGGUGAUCUACCUUUCUAGCCAACCUGUCUCAAUGAUCCAUAAUGUUGCUACCCUGGUGCCAGAUGGAUAUGAUAGAAGGCUCCUAAAAGGCUCUUGGUUUGAGGAAAGUGUUGCUUACAUACAACAGGAAUCUUGUGGGAUUUAAGAAGUGGGGAGAUGUAAGUUUGAGUCAUUAAUAAUUUAACUAAAUUUACUUUUACAAUGUUAGCAUUGCUAUUUUGGUUUAUGUAACUUAUGACUAAUAUUUUUAAAGAUACUGAACAUUAUAUUAAUUUCUUUACAGCAUGGCUUACCUUUAAAUAUUGCACCAUGUCCAUAGGUGCAAUCUGUCCUAAUCUAUUUCUAUUGAGGACCCAAAAUAGGCACUAAGAUGUACAGCUGUGCCAAAGAGCGAUUUAUCCCUCUUCUUGAUCUAAUGCACCGUAAAAUCUAGUAAUUUCUUACUGUUCCAAUGAUUACUUCUUGCUUAUAGCUGGUACUCAGUCAAAACAGCCUGUUACCAGAUUAGCUACAUUAUUUAGACCAAAUUCCUCUUAACUGC
rnacentral:lncRNA from 1 species